UACGUAGGGUGCAAGCGUUGUCCGGAAUUAUUGGGCGUAAAGAGCUUGUAGGCGGUUUGUCGCGUCUGCUGUGAAAUUUCGGGGCUCAACCCCGAACUUGCAGUGGGUACGGGCAGACUAGAGUGUGGUAGGGGGAGACUGGAAUUCCUGGUGUAGCGGUGAAAUGCGCAGAUAUCAGGAGGAACACCGAUGGCGAAGGCAGGUCUCUGGGCAUUAACUGACGCUGAGGAGCGAAAGCAUGGGGGAGCGAACAGG
rnacentral:rRNA from 1 species